CACAUUUACCAAUAACUCAAGGUUUGUGGGUGUGUUUUGUGUGUUUGCAGUUGUAUUUAAAGCAGCAGACGAGUCUCUCUCUAUCAGACUGAUCCAGACGUCCAUCAGAUCCACUGCUGUCAUCCACACUUCUCCACCUACAGUUUGUAAAAACCAGCACUCGAGGGCGCACGAUCAAAACAACAAUGGCGUAGCUUGAUGACGCUGUGAAGGAGCGUGGAAUGAUGGGAUCUGUUGUCUUCAACUCCACCGCUGAUGGCCAUCAAUCAGACGGGAACGAGAAAUCAUGUUAGCGGAUGAGAGUGACACUGAAAAUGGGUGCUUCAUAUUGGUCACAAUUUCAACAAACUAAAGAGGAGAAUAAAAGACUCCAGGAAGAACUGGAUCAAACUAAAAAAGAAGAAGAAGAACAGAGAAAAGAAAACGAGAAGAAAACGAGAGAACUGGAUGAUUUUAAAAUAAGAGCAGAAGAAAAAAGAAAAAUUGAUGAGUACAACAGAGCUAGAGAGCAAGACGAAAAGAAAAGAAUCCAAGCAAACAAAAAAUGACGAAACAAACCGACACCUAAUGUGCAACAACCUAAUACAACAGUACAUAGGGACCUUUAAAACGGCUAUACAUGCAAGAUAUUUGUUUUUUAUUUUGAAUCAUCAGCGUUCUUGAUUUUCUUGUUCCAGAAGGAUGACAAAUUGUGUUUUCUCUGCUUCUGUAUGCUUCUGUAACUCCUAGACAUCAUCUGGAUGCCCUUCAUUUAAAGCAUUGUAUUUUCUUUUAUGAUGUGUUAAGCUGUAUCGCUGUCAGAUGCUGUUUCCUUGUUGCAUUGGUGUAAAAACAACAACAAAUACAAGUUUGUAUGGCCAUUCACCCAGUAAUUAAAGAAAAAAAAAUUCUGAAAUCCAGACCAGUGUGCUUUUUUUAGUAAUUGUGCUUAUUCUUAUUUUGAUAAGAAAUUAUUCAAAGCUUGAAGCAUGCAAAGAUCCUCUAUGUCUGACAAAAAAAAAAUCUUAACGCAUUUGGCAAACAACAUAUGUGGCUGUGAAACACAAAUACUUACAAUAUAUUUUAAGGACCAGGUUUGUUGUUGUCCAUUUCUAUUUUUGUUUCAUUUUAAACAGUCUCAGAGAAGAGUUAAAGUGUAAAAGAGUUACUAAUUAAACAAAUUCAUAUUUACACACAUAUAAUUUAUGUUCUAGAAAGGAAAGCCAUAUUUCAGAACAGAGGCCAUAACCAGCUUCAUCAGAAACAUGUCCGACAAUGAGACCAUUGAACUGUCUUGUCUUGGCCGACCGUUUCAGUUGGGAAUGCUGUAUGACUGCAGAAAGGAUUCUCUCAUUCCAGGAAUAACUCUCUGGGACCCCAAGGUGCUGCAAAAUAAUAUUAAUGUA